rnacentral:rRNA from 2 species
UUAAGCGACUAAGCGUACACGGUGGAUGCCCUGGCAGUCAGAGGCGAUGAAGGACGUGCUAAUCUGCGAUAAGCGUCGGUGAGGUGAUAUGAACCGUUAUAACCGGCGAUUUCCGAAUGGGGAAACCCAGUGUGUUUCGACACACUAUCAUUAACUGAAUCCAUAGGUUAAUGAGGCGAACCGGGGGAACUGAAACAUCUAAGUACCCCGAGGAAAAGAAAUCAACCGAGAUUCCCCCAGUAGCGGCGAGCGAACGGGGAGGAGCCCAGAGCCUGAAUCAGUGUGUGUGUUAGUGGAAGCGUCUGGAAAGGCGCGCGAUACAGGGUGACAGCCCCGUACACAAAAAUGCACAUGCUGUGAGCUCGAUGAGUAGGGCGGGACACGUGGUAUCCUGUCUGAAUAUGGGGGGACCAUCCUCCAAGGCUAAAUACUCCUGACUGACCGAUAGUGAACCAGUACCGUGAGGGAAAGGCGAAAAGAACCCCGGCGAGGGGAGUGAAAAAGAACCUGAAACCGUGUACGUACAAGCAGUGGGAGCCUCUUAAUGGGGUGACUGCGUACCUUUUGUAUAAUGGGUCAGCGACUUAUAUUCUGUAGCAAGGUUAACCGAAUAGGGGAGCCGAAGGGAAACCGAGUCUUAACUGGGCGUUAAGUUGCAGGGUAUAGACCCGAAACCCGGUGAUCUAGCCAUGGGCAGGUUGAAGGUUGGGUAACACUAACUGGAGGACCGAACCGACUAAUGUUGAAAAAUUAGCGGAUGACUUGUGGCUGGGGGUGAAAGGCCAAUCAAACCGGGAGAUAGCUGGUUCUCCCCGAAAGCUAUUUAGGUAGCGCCUCGUGAAUUCAUCUCCGGGGGUAGAGCACUGUUUCGGCAAGGGGGUCAUCCCGACUUACCAACCCGAUGCAAACUGCGAAUACCGGAGAAUGUUAUCACGGGAGACACACGGCGGGUGCUAACGUCCGUCGUGAAGAGGGAAACAACCCAGACCGCCAGCUAAGGUCCCAAAGUCAUGGUUAAGUGGGAAACGAUGUGGGAAGGCCCAGACAGCCAGGAUGUUGGCUUAGAAGCAGCCAUCAUUUAAAGAAAGCGUAAUAGCUCACUGGUCGAGUCGGCCUGCGCGGAAGAUGUAACGGGGCUAAACCAUGCACCGAAGCUGCGGCAGCGACACUAUGUGUUGUUGGGUAGGGGAGCGUUCUGUAAGCUUGUGAAGGUGGCCUGUGAGGGUUGCUGGAGGUAUCAGAAGUGCGAAUGCUGACAUAAGUAACGAUAAAGCGGGUGAAAAGCCCGCUCGCCGGAAGACCAAGGGUUCCUGUCCAACGUUAAUCGGGGCAGGGUGAGUCGACCCCUAAGGCGAGGCCGAAAGGCGUAGUCGAUGGGAAACAGGUUAAUAUUCCUGUACUUGGUGUUACUGCGAAGGGGGGACGGAGAAGGCUAUGUUGGCCGGGCGACGGUUGUCCCGGUUUAAGCGUGUAGGCUGGUUUUCCAGGCAAAUCCGGAAAACCAAGGCUGAGGCGUGAUGACGAGGCACUACGGUGCUGAAGCGACAAAUGCCCUGCUUCCAGGAAAAGCCUCUAAGCAUCAGGUAACAUCAAAUCGUACCCCAAACCGACACAGGUGGUCAGGUAGAGAAUACCAAGGCGCUUGAGAGAACUCGGGUGAAGGAACUAGGCAAAAUGGUGCCGUAACUUCGGGAGAAGGCACGCUGAUAUGUAGGUGAAGCGACUUGCUCGUGGAGCUGAAAUCAGUCGAAGAUACCAGCUGGCUGCAACUGUUUAUUAAAAACACAGCACUGUGCAAACACGAAAGUGGACGUAUACGGUGUGACGCCUGCCCGGUGCCGGAAGGUUAAUUGAUGGGGUUAGCGGCAACGCGAAGCUCUUGAUCGAAGCCCCGGUAAACGGCGGCCGUAACUAUAACGGUCCUAAGGUAGCGAAAUUCCUUGUCGGGUAAGUUCCGACCUGCACGAAUGGCGUAAUGAUGGCCAGGCUGUCUCCACCCGAGACUCAGUGAAAUUGAACUCGCUGUGAAGAUGCAGUGUACCCGCGGCAAGACGGAAAGACCCCGUGAACCUUUACUAUAGCUUGACACUGAACAUUGAGCCUUGAUGUGUAGGAUAGGUGGGAGGCUUUGAAGUGUGGACGCCAGUCUGCAUGGAGCCGACCUUGAAAUACCACCCUUUAAUGUUUGAUGUUCUAACGUGGGCCCCUAAUCGGGGUUGCGGACAGUGUCUGGUGGGUAGUUUGACUGGGGCGGUCUCCUCCUAAAGAGUAACGGAGGAGCACGAAGGUUGGCUAAUCCUGGUCGGACAUCAGGAGGUUAGUGCAAUGGCAUAAGCCAGCUUGACUGCGAGCGUGACGGCGCGAGCAGGUGCGAAAGCAGGUCAUAGUGAUCCGGUGGUUCUGAAUGGAAGGGCCAUCGCUCAACGGAUAAAAGGUACUCCGGGGAUAACAGGCUGAUACCGCCCAAGAGUUCAUAUCGACGGCGGUGUUUGGCACCUCGAUGUCGGCUCAUCACAUCCUGGGGCUGAAGUAGGUCCCAAGGGUAUGGCUGUUCGCCAUUUAAAGUGGUACGCGAGCUGGGUUUAGAACGUCGUGAGACAGUUCGGUCCCUAUCUGCCGUGGGCGCUGGAGAACUGAGGGGGGCUGCUCCUAGUACGAGAGGACCGGAGUGGACGCAUCACUGGUGUUCGGGUUGUCAUGCCAAUGGCACUGCCCGGUAGCUAAAUGCGGAAGAGAUAAGUGCUGAAAGCAUCUAAGCACGAAACUUGCCCCGAGAUGAGUUCUCCCUGAGACUUAGAGUCUCCUGAAGGAACGUUGAAGACGACGACGUUGAUAGGCCGGGUGUGUAAGCGCAGCGAUGCGUUGAGCUAACCGGUACUAAUGAACCGUGAGGCUUAACCUU